rnacentral:sRNA from 1 species
AUACCGUCGUUAUCAGAAUAUUUU